rnacentral:rRNA from 1 species
AUUAAUAAGUCAGUGGUGAAAUCCCAUCGCUUAACGAUGGAACUGCCAUUGAUACUGUUAGUCUUGAAUGAGGGUGCAGUGGUUGGAAUGUGUAGUGUAGCGGUGAAAUGUCAUAGAUAUUACACAGAACACCGAUUGCGAAGGCAGAUCACUAACCCUAAAUUGACGCUGACGGGACGAAAGCGUGGGGAGCGAACAGGAUUAGAUACCCUGGUAG